rnacentral:rRNA from 1 species
UACGGGGGGGGCAAGCGUUGUUCGGAAUUACUGGGCGUAAAGGGCUCGUAGGUGGCCAACUAAGUCAGACGUGAAAUCCCUCGGCUUAACCGGGGAACUGCGUCUGAUACUGGAUGGCUUGAGAUUGGGAGAGGGAUGCGGAAUUCCAGGUGUAGCGGUGAAAUGCGUAGAUAUCUGGAGGAAUACCGAUGGCGAAGGCAGGUCUCUGGGCAUUAACUGACGCUGAGGAGCGAAAGCAUGGGGAGCGAACAGG